rnacentral:rRNA from 1 species
UGGGGAAUUUUGGACAAUGGGCGAAAGCCUGAUCCAGCAAUGCCGCGUGUGUGAAGAAGGCCUUCGGGUUGUAAAGCACUUUUGUCCGGAAAGAAAUCCUUGGCUCUAAUACAGUCGGGGGAUGACGGUACCGGAAGAAUAAGCACCGGCUAACUACGUGCCAGCAGCCGCGGUAAUACGUAGGGUGCAAGCGUUAAUCGGAAUUACUGGGCGUAAAGCGUGCGCAGGCGGUUUGCUAAGACCGAUGUGAAAUCCCCGGGCUCAACCUGGGAACUGCAUUGGUGACUGGCAGGCUAGAGUAUGGCAGAGGGGGGUAGAACUCCACGUGUAGCAGUGAAAUGCGUAGAGAUGUGGAGGAAUACCGAUGGCGAAGGCAGCCCCCUGGGCCAAUACUGACGCUCAUGCACGAAAGCGUGGGGAGCAAACAGGAUUAGAUACCCUGGUAGUCCACGCCCUAAACGAUGUCAACUAGUUGUUGGGGAUUCAUUUCCUAGUAACGUAGCUAACGCGUGAAGUUGACCGCCUGGGGAGUACGGUCGCAAGAUUAAAACUUAAAGGAAUUGACGGGGUCAUAGCUGUUUCCU